GUUAAUUGAGGGUGUAUGUUUUUUGUAAUUUCUUGUAAGCUGUUGGUGAAAAUAAGACCAUAAAAUAUGGCAGUAGAAGUCUGUGGGAGGAGUGUGGAGGGAUUGCCUCAUGGCACUUUAUAACCACCUUAGAAGACCACCUAGUAGGUCAGAAAAGUAACAACCAAAAGAAUAAUACAAAUGACAUUUUUAUUUUACAGUCUGCAGCCCACGUUUUUGUCCAUCUCAAUGUGACCAUUACAACAGAUGAGAAACGGAUCAGCAUAGAGAUUGGUGGUCAUUUUCCCCCUGGAGAAGCUUCUGUCAGACUUAACAUUACAAACCAGGCUUCACCUCAUAAUGGACAGACCAAAGCUCAGGAUAUUGAUCAGGAGGAACCAAUGGAGUGGGAGCCUUAUGAGUGUGUGGACAGCCAGCUGGGUACUGAUGGAAAGGUCUAUAUAGAUUGCAGAUUCCAAAGGACGUCUCACAUGAAUCUACAGCCAAACCAGACACCUCUUGGAGGGAUUAGAACUAAGGAUAUGAAUGGAGAUGAAGAGGAACCCAUGGAGGAGGGCUGAGGAAAAGUGUGAUCAGGACCCUCAUUGCCCAAUAGCUUAGGGAAAUGUAAUGUUGCUGUAAAGAAUUCAUUUAUUACCAUAUCCUUAUUUAUCCAUUGUUUUGCAAAUUAACUGGAAUAAAUGAACUGUUUUAGACUAGGCCUGAAUUUGCUUUAGACUGUUCAUGGUUGCCACAGAUGGAGGAAGACCUAGGUCACAAUGCCCUGUUUUUAGAAGUGAUUAUGGCCACAACCAAGGCGCCAGGCCUCAAACCU
ensembl:lncRNA